rnacentral:rRNA from 1 species
UACAGAGGUCUCAAGCGUUGUUCGGAUUCAUUGGGCGUAAAGGGUUCGUAGGUGGCCGGCUAAGUCAGACGUGAAAUCCCUCAGCUUAACUGGGGAACUGCGUCUGAGACUGGUCGGCUUGAGUGCAGGAGAGGAACGCGGAAUUCCAGGUGUAGCGGUGAAAUGCGUAGAUAUCUGGAGGAACACCGGUGGCGAAGGCGGCGUUCUGGACUGCAACUGACACUGAGGAACGAAAGCCAGGGGAGCAAACGGG